rnacentral:rRNA from 1 species
CACGUAGGGGGCGAGCGUUGUCCGGAUUUAUUGGGCGUAAAGAGCUCGUAGGCGGUUUCGUAAGUCGGAUGUGAAAACUCCAGGCUCAACUUGGAGACGCCAUUCGAUACUGCGAUGACUUGAGUCCGGUAGGGGAGUGUGGAAUUCCUGGUGUAGCGGUGGAAUGCGCAGAUAUCAGGAGGAACACCAAUAGCGAAGGCAGCUCGCUGGGACGGUACUGACGCUAAGGCGCGAAAGCGUGGGGAGCGAACAGG